UGACCCUUGGGGAACUCCAUGUUUUAUUGUUCCCCAGUUUGAGAAAAAAUUUUGUUUGUUUUUAGGUGGUUUUACUUCGACGUUUUGUUUUCUAUCUGUUAAAUAGGAUCUGAACCAUUAUGCUGCUAUUCCUUGAAUGCCAUAAAAAUGCAAUUUAUCCAACAAAAUUUCAUGAUUUACACAGUCAAAAGCUUUUGCUAAAUCACAGAAAAUUCCUCCAACAUGCAUUUUUUGGUUAACAGAUUUUAGCACAUUGUCUGUUAGUUUGAAAGCUGCAUCUUCAGUGGAUACACCUUCCCUGAAGCCAUAUUGUUCCAGGACUAAUAUGUUGUUAGCAUGCAUAUGAUGACUUAAUCUAUUGUACAUAAUCUUUUCAAGCACUUUAGAAAAAGUAGUUAAAAGUGAAAUUGGCCUGUAAUUUGUCAUACUGGUUUUGUCCCCUUUCUUGUACAGCGGUCGUACUAUUGAUAUUUUAAGGCGGUCCGGGAAAAUGCCUGUGUAUAAUGAGUGAUUACAAAUGUGGGUUAAUGGACGACUAAUUAAAGCCGAACAAGCUUUCAAAAUUUUACUUGUUAUUUCAUCAUAACCUGAUGAGUUUUUUGACUUGAGGGACUGUAUUACACUUUUCACCUCAGUUUCAGUCCUUCCUAUAGAAAUCCGUAGUCUUCUGUUUCACAUAUUUUCCCUCAUCAUCAAGGGGCAGGUUUCUGUUGAAUCUUGUUUUAUGGUAAUCACCCUUGCUCGGACUUAUAUUAAACCUUCUUAGUGUAUAGUAUGUUUGCAUCCUCAUUUAUCACUACAUGAACUGUUUGUCAUGACUUGCACACUUUGCAGAGAUAUCCAAACAGAAACCAUUCUCUUUGUAUACAUUUCAGAUAGAUACCUGCUUUCCCUUUAAGGUACCUGAGCUGUGGUACACUUGGAGUUUCAUGUAGCACAUCUUCAGAGUACCAAAAUUAAUUUCAGGUUUACCAUUUUCCACCAAAAUCUGCAAGUUCUUGCAUAAGGUAACAGGCAGACCUAACACUUACAUUCUUUUACUACAUGUUGUGUUUCUUCAGAGCACAGUGUUGUGUACACAGUGUGUUUAAGCAAACACAUAUAUAAUGCAUCCAAAUAAAUGUGUAAGUGGACUUCCUAUUUUCAGAAGCCUAUUCUUAUUUGGAGGUACAGUCACUGUGUAUGUGUAAUGGUCUUGUGACAUGAGUACUAUUUUCUGUGAUAUUUACUUUAUCCAAUUUCAUAUGAAGUAAUAUUCUAAAUUAUGUCUAUGGUACACAUUCUUCUCAUUGUAUGGCACGUUUAUAUGCAAUUUUUAUGUUCCUUGUCAUGCAAGUACGUCUACAAAGUCCAGUGAAAAUGUGGUCUGCCCAAAUCACAUAAAACUUUAUAUGUGAUGUAAUUGCUAAGAAGUGUUGUUCUGUCCCUGUUAAGAUGUCCGGUUAUCACAUCGUCAGUAUGAAGAUGGCUGUCUUCUGGGAGUUUGCACAAUUUAAUCUGGUAGAUAUUACUGACAUUUCAGAGGUGCCUUCUGCCAUCACGUGAUGAUGCAGGCAGUAAGCUCCACAGAAAUAUCUGUCAGUAUCUAUCAGACUACAUGGUUCAACAUCCCAGAAGACAGCCAUCUUCAUUUUUGUAUAUGGUACUCUGGUUCUCACCUAACAAAUUUAUAUCGUCCAAAAUUCAUAAAUCUUGUUUGAAACAUUUUACAUUCUGCAGCGCACAUAAUUCCAUCCCUGGUGCUGCUGGUUAUGUAAAUACCAUCCUGUCAUCAUAGAGAGUUCCUGCUGUUCUCUAAUUUGGUUCUUCACGAAGAUUUAUGAAGAAUGUAUAUGACUUGACUCCUAUAUAUGGAGUUUAACAGAAUUCCGACAUCAAGACUGCCGCCACCAUCACCGACGCCAAGGGCAAAUUACAUUAAUCUCGUGAUAGUUGAUUUUCAGGAAUUCUGUCGACCUGACCACCACCACCACUACCACUACCACUACCACCACCGUACAUAAGAGGUGGAUUUACUUCACCUCGUCCUAAUUGUUCACAGGCGAGGAGUGCAAAGCAGAACUGGGCUAGGAUUUCAGUGGGGCUAGCCGGUCAAAAGUAGAGAGCGCUGUGGGCGGAGUGAGGGGCAGUUCACUGUUAUAGCCUGUGCGUCCGUGCUGUCAGGCUUGCAGCUCCGGUUGCUUCUCACACGUAGACCAAGGUGUGAGGUGGAGUGAAGGGCAGUUCACUGGCACAUCACGUAUUGAGGCUGCUGUCCAAACAGCUGGCUUAUAGUAAACACACUUGCUUGGUACCACGUGUUUUAGACUGGUUUUUGUAUCACAAUCUGUUUCAUGUUAUUGUUAAUGAGUGUUCAAUAAUUCUGUGUGCUGACUAUUUGUUGUUCUGUUAAUGAGAGUGAGGAAAGGAAGUGUAUCAUAUUUACAGCAAAUUACUUUUUCUCAAUUGUCGAGUGAAAAAAUUGACGUAAAACAUCAUGACUGUCCUCUUCCAGACUUACAUAUUGUUAAAACAUUGUCGGGCAGGUAUGGAUUUUCCCCUGAUGUAAAUUUAUUUAUAUUGUUAUGUGUUGUAAAACUAUUCUGAGUUUUCCCCCUUGUGUAGCACUACCACUGCUCAGACUGACAAGCCGCCACUGUUUAAAGCCUUUUUAUUCCAGUCCUUCAAGUGGUUGAUAAAUCAAUAUUCAGUGUGGGAUUGGUUUUGUUGUGUAACUUCACUUGUGGGAGGAACCAGACUUGCAGUGUUAAGAAAAGUGGUAAUAAUUGUGAUUUUCUAUCAAAUUCAUACUCAGUUUGUAGUUAAAUUAAUAGCCUAGUAUUUUAUGUAUACUCAGGUAUUUGAUUUGUUAAUUUUGUUUGAAACUUUGAUUCAUGGGACAGACACUGCUACAGGCAUACGCUGUAUGCUAGCAAAAAGAAGAUGGCGAGACUUAAGUUUUGAAGUCAUACCAACCAUGCAAAGUAAUAUGAAAUGCCAAGUUUUGGUUUCAAAGCUAAAGAAAUGCUAAAGUUAUCGCACCUGUAGACGUCAACCUAAUUGCUGUGAUGUGGUUGUGAAAUCUGUACCUUGGUUUGCCAAAUUGAGUAAACAAUGUAAAUAAUGCAAUUUAUUUUUUAAAAUAAACUGUAAAUAUGACAAAGUAAGAUAUGCAGGAAGUAUAUUUACUGUAUUAUGAAAUGUGAAGUAGCACCUAGAAAAUGCUUCUUAAUUGAUUGAGGCUUCAUGGAAUAUGUCUAAGUUAAAUUUUAACUUAAUUUACAAGUACUAUGUCAGGAAAGUUUUUCUCUAUGGUAGUAUGAAGAUGAUUUCUCAACCCACAGACGCUGUGCCAUGUGUGGCCCACAACAUUUUUUUAUACUUAUCAUUCUGUUUGAUGAAAAUUGUUAGCAGCGAUCAGAAAACAAUAUUUGUGAAUGUAGUGACAGUAACUGUUACUGUAAACAAGACAUCCAGCAUUAGGCUAUGUAGUUUUCUUCUCUGUGUGCCAGUCUUACCAACAGAAAUCCAUAGCCUUCAGUUUCACGUAUUUUCCCUUAUCAUCCAGGGGCAGGUUUCUGUUGAAUCUUCUUUUAUGGUUAUCACCCUUGCAUGAACUUGUAUUAAAACUUCUUAAUAUAUAUAAUGAUUGCAUCAUCAUCUAUCAAGACAUGUGAUGAUCCUCAUGACUUGUGCAGUUUUGCAGAAACAUUCAGACAGAAACCAUUGUCUUUACAUAGAUUUCAAAUAGAUACCUGCUGUUUUCUUAAGGCACCAUUACUGUGUUACACUUGCAGUUUCAUAUUACAUUUCUACAGAGAACCAAAAUUAAUUUCAGGUUUACCAUUUUCUACUAAAAUGUGCAAGUUCUUGCUUGAGGUAAACGCAUACCUAAUACUUGUACUCUUUUAUGACAUGCUGUGUUUCAUCAGAGCACACUGUUGUGUACACACUGUCUUUAAGCAAAUACAUAUAUAAUGCAUCCAAAUGAA